CACGUAGGGGGCGAGCGUUUGUCCGGAUUUAUUGGGCGUAAAGAGCUCGUGAGGCGGCUCGGUAAGUCGGGUGUGAAACCUCCAGGCUCAACCUGGAGACGCCACCCGAUACUGCCGUGGCUAGAGUCCGGUAGAGGAGCGUAGAAUUCCUGGUGUAGCGGUGAAAUGCGCAGAUAUCAGGAGGAAUACCAGCGGCGAAGGCGGCGCUCGUGGGCCGGUACUGACGUGAGGAGCGAAAGCGUGGGGGAGCAAACAGG
rnacentral:rRNA from 1 species